rnacentral:lncRNA from 1 species
ACAAUGCCCAAACACACGCACCAAGAAGUCAUCAAAGACAGCCCAACUCACAGCCCAUGAGGGACCCUGAGUACUGCCUCUGACCUCUCUAUGGCAAGCCAAAUGGCCAUGGGAAGACCCCAUGGAGUGUCAGAAUGAUGCCGUUGAGGGCAAGGAUUUUAGACCGGUCAUGGAUUCUGCCUGUGCACUGGGCUCUACCACUUUCUAGCUAUCUGGCUACUAGCAAGUUACCUUAACAAUCUAAGUUUCAACCUCCCCAUUCGUGAAAUGGAGAUGAUGUCUUAGUCAUAGAAGUAGCAAGUCUACUGCAUAUCAACAGUGUAGCACUGAGCCUGGCUCUUUGUAAGUGUUCAGUAAGUGUUACUCAUUAUAAUGUAUUAUUAUUAUUACUACUACUACUACUUUUUUCUUUUUUUUUUGAGAUGAACUCUCGCUCUGUUACCCAGGCUGGAGCGCAGUGGGAUGAUCUCUGCUCACUGCAGCCUCUGCCUUCUGGGUUCAAGUGAUUCUCCUGCCUCAGCCGCGUGAGUAGCUGGGGUUAUAGGCAUGAGCUACCACGCCCAGCUUAUUUUUGUAUUGUUAGUAGAGGCCGCAUUUCACCAUGUUGGCUGGGCUGGUCUUAAACUCCUAACAUCAAAUGAUCCACCCACCUUGGCCUCCCAAAGUGCUAGGAUCACAGGCGUGAACCACCGUGCCCAACCUACUACUACCAUUUUAAAAGCCUCUACCUAUAAAGGAUCACAAUGCUUUGAAAAGGAAGUGCAGAGGUUGAAGGGUGUCUCAAGGAGGGCAGUGAUCAAAACCAUACUAAGUAUUUGAAAAUCAGAAGAAAAGGUUGGGUGAGGGUAGAUCCUGGAUGAAAUAAUAUUAUUAAAUAGCUUUUCAAGUAUAGACAUUGAAGAGCUACAAGCUGGAAAGGGGGCCAAAACUAACUCGUUUUUUGGUAUACCUUACCAUAUGCCAAAUACCAGACUGCAGAGUUUACAUUUGUUAUUGCAUUCAAUCCCCAUUGCAACCCUCUGAGGUUGUUAUUAUCAUUCCCACUUCACAGAUAAGGAAACAGGCCGAGAGACGCAAGUCAAACAGCAAAGGAUGGUCUGCUGUCUGUCUGACUCCAAUGCCAAUGGUCUUUCCUCUAUAACCUAAAGCAAUAAAACCCCUGCAACAUCUA